GCCGAAAUCCAAGGCGGCUAUGCCAUGAUCCGAUAGCCAAGGUGGCAAUGGAUGGCGCGAGCUUGGUGAGGAUUCACCACCCGAAUGGCGCACAUGAGGUACUCGACGUAAUGCCCCACAGAAAUGUCUGGUACAUGUGCUACUUCAUCCUCAACAUAAAUUCAAGAGCUGCUUAUUAUCCAUUUCUUAUAGUACAGGUUUUAUAACAGAAAAAAGUACCAUCAUAGUCUCCGCCGCCAAAACAAAGAGCCAUUUGCAUCAAGAUUUUACUAUGAAAAAAUACGACGGAUGGGACAUAUUCAUAUAACGGAAGUGACAAUCAAAAUAACUACUAUUUUAUACCUAAAAAAAUAUUUACUCAAAUAAUACAUCUUCCUUUUGCACAGGGAUUGCCCUAAACAAAGUUGGCAUUAUCCAGCUUGUAUAGCCUGUAAUGCAAGAUCCUUUUUAUGGCACAACUUAUAGAUGCAGUAGAGACAAAUGCAUCUACAGUCAAAUUUGUAA